CUCAUCUCCUCCAUGUCCGUCCCAGCUCACCAUGUUCGUGAUCCAUCUUCAUCCCACAUCCAUCCGAAUCCCCUGCAUCCCAGCCCGCGGUUCAUCUUCAUCUCCCAUGCUUUCGAAUCAUUUCUAACGCGUCCGAAGAUCAAGCAACAAAGUCUCGGAUAAGCUCCAAUCCCAGUGAACUUCCUUCAUCCCAUUUCGUUCCUAGCUCCCCUGUUUUGGAACCAAUCUCAGCCGAAUCCAAACUCCCC
rnacentral:lncRNA from 1 species